GAUUAGGAAGAGUAUCAUUGGUAAUAUCAUUGGUAAUUUGGAAAUAAAUACAUCAAGCACAGGCUGUAAACAGGACAAAAUUACAAAAUGUUUUGUAUUCAAUACACAAAUUGCUAAUUAAAUUAAUCAAAGCCAGUCAAAAACAACACCAGAAAUCUGUCAAUGCUACAAAAGGCCAUGUAUGGUGGUGUAGUGCUGCUUUAGCAGAUACAUAGUUACGCCGGUUAUUAAUAUACAAAUCCCCCUAGCAACUGACUCAGGGUCAGUAUCCAACUCUUUCACAUAAUGACACCUUAGUGUAUGCUGUAUCCCACCCAGGAUUGCCCUAGGUCAGAUACAUCAGCCCCUAGGUGGGAUACAUCAGCCCCUAGGUGGGAUACAUCAGCCCCUAGGUGGGGUACAUCAGCCAGCCCCUAGGUGGGGUACAUCAGCCAGCGCCUAGGUGGGAUACAUCAGCCCCUAGGUGGGAUACAUCAGCCCCUAGGUGGGAUACAUCAGCCCCUAGGUGGGAUACAUCAGCCCCUAGGUGGGGUACAUCAGCCCCUAGGUGGGGUACAUCAGCCCCUAGGUGGGGUACAUCAGCCCCUAGGUGGGAUACAUCAGCCCCUAGGUGGGAUACAUCAG